GGCCUGCUAGCUCAGUCGGUUAGAGCGUCGUGCUAAUAACGCGAAGGUCACAGGUUCUAUCCCUGUGCAGGCCA
rnacentral:tRNA from 1 species